UGGGAGGAGGAGGAGGAGGGCUGGCUCGGGCAAGGUUGGCGAGGAGCCGGAGGGGAGAGAGAGGAGCCCGAGCUAGCGGAGAGGAAGGGGGUGCCAUCCAUUCAUCCCGGUCACUUUUUGGUUUCAGGACGUGGCAGCUGGUCGGACAGGGGGAGUCGUCGGGCAGGGUGCACGCCGGAGGCCUGGGGCAGCGGAGGUAUAGCCGGCAGCGUGGGCAGGUGAGUCCCUUCCCUCCCCGGCCCUGGCGGCCCGGGCCUCCGCAGCCAGGAGGUUUUGGGGCGCGAGGGCCGGCGAGGAGAAGCGGCUGGCCUCCCGGCGGAGCAGGACAGAGCGCAGGAGAGCGAGCUCAGGUGACAUCUUCUCGGGGGGAGCCGAGACGGGGCGAGGCCGGGGUGGGCCCUGUGGGCCCGUCCCGGGAGGAAGGGACUUUGCAGGAGGGCAGGGCAGAGAGCAGGGGUGGGCUGCCAGCAUGGCGCAGAGCGCAGGGCGGAUCCCAGCAGGUGUGGGGACACCCCAGGCCCCGGCGGGACAGGACGAGGGGGGAGGGCACAGGACACUAGACAGAUGGGUCCCCAGCUGCCACCACAUCUCACCCACCGCAACCCACUUAGAAGCAGGUACAGGAGACGCCCCGGCUGGGCAAUCUCAGGCCCGCGCCGGGGCGUCGAGAGCUGGAGAGUGGAGAAGAGGGGCAGUGCAGCGGCGUGGCUGGAGGUGGCCGCGUGGCACUGCAGCCCGGGGCUGAGCGGGGAGGGCCCACAGUGGAUGCCCUCCCCGCUCGGCCACGGGCGCUGGCACAGCAGACAGUACCAGGGGAGUCAAGGGCACAGGCGAGGCCAGGCUAGGCGAGACGGGCGAGGUGGCGUGCAUGAGUGCUCUCGGGGGGAGGUGGGGCGCAGGCAGGGACGAGGAGCGGGGCGCUGGCCUCCAGAGCCCGCGGCCAAGGCGGGCCUUGCGGGCGGCGACGGAGCAGUGAUCGGCGCCUCUGCGUUCCCGGUGGAGACCACGCGAGGGGGAGCUGUGCCUGCCGCACGCCAGGUGCAGGCGAGCCGAGGGACAUGACAUGGUCCGGUGUGACGGUGAGGACAGAGGGGCUGGCCGUGCGGUCUUCCAGAACAUCUUCGGUGGGCACCGCGGGGGAGCUGCCGUCAGGAGCGAGUCUCUGUCCCUUCUGUCGCCAAGGAGCUGACACACACACACAUACCCACUACUGCUGCUCUCUGGACCCUUGGAACUCUCAGAGAAAGAAAUGGUGCUGCCCAGCUCAAGUCUGGGCCCUCGAACCCGGGGACUCGUGAGUCCGUCCUGUUGUGAAUCAAGAAGACUUUGCCUUUGGAACCUCGACACAGCCUUGCUCAGGGUCAGCUCCCAGGUGACGCCCAAGGAAGGAGACCUCGCCCACACCGCCAUCAGCAGCAGCAACGCCCGCACCCCCUCGCCCCCUGCCACUCCAUCUGCGCGGCCAUCCCGCGGCAUCCGGGUGCUCCCGGAGCUGGGCCCUCCGCGGGGUGGCCCCCACCGCCUCCCUUCUUUCUUUCCUCUUCUUUUUCUCUCUCUCUGCCUGAGUGUUUGCUCUCCCAUUGCUUGAGAGACUCGGAGCACCCCCGACUCCGCCCCCCAUCCCCUCUACGUUUAUUUUGCACUAAGUCGUCGGCACUGGUCUGGAGUCGCCGGCGGCCCUGAGUCUCUGGAGCGCGUGUGCGAGCCCUUAGCCAGCCCGGCCCCGGCACCUGCCUAUCCGCCCAUCACUGUCCGGGGUCCCGGGCGCUGGCCGUGUGUCUGAGGCCUCGCCCCCACCUCGCCUGGCCUGGGUGCUCCCGCCCAGCGGAGCGGCCUUAGAACACCCACAGGCCCCUCUCGCCCUGUGCCCCUCCCCACCAGGGCCCCAGCAGGAGCCCUGGCCUCAUCAAUAAAACUCAGU